UUUUUUUUUUUUUUUUUUUUUUUUUUUUUUUGGGUGCGGAAUGGCGGUCAGGAGGUGCUGCUGCUUGGCUGCUUGCGGCUCACUAAUUCAUUAGCAGAGUUAGUGUUUGAUGUGUGUCUGUGUGUGUGUGUCUGUGUGUACGAGGUGAGGGGUGGGGGUGGGGAGAGGGAGGGAGGGAGGGAGAGAGAGAGGGGGAGAGAGACAGAGAGAGAGAGAGAGACAGAGAAGAGGGUGAGGGUGGAGAGGGAGACAGAAACAGAAGCAGCUACCCCUCGGAAAGAGAAAAGAGACAAGAGAUCCACACUGAGACUGAGACAGAGACAGUCAGCGAGUGACCUCCUAGGGGGAAAAAAAAUCCAGCACGCUGACCUGAACUAGGCAAAGAAGGGGUGGGGUGGGGAACCACCUUUUUUUUUUCCCUAUUGCACACACACCCUCUCCAAAAUGCAACCCCUCCCCCCUCCUGCAAAAAAAAAAGAAAGAAAAAGAAACUUAAACCACAACUAGACAAGAACCCAGCCAAUCACCACCCCACCCCGGGGGGUGGGGGGAGGGCAAAAAUAGAAAAAAAUAAAAUAAUUCCCAACUAUCCUAACA
rnacentral:lncRNA from 1 species